UCCUCUGAUUAUGAAUUGAACGUACAUUACACGCAUGCAGAAAACUGCACGAGGCUCUGCGGCGAUGUGGAAGUGCCGUACCCAUUCGGCAUCCAAGGCAUGGGCCCCGCUGGUUGCUUCCAUCCAGGGUUCAACCUCACCUGCGACAAGACCCACGACCCACCACGGCUGCUCCUUGACGACAGUGGCAACUUCCGAGUCGAGAAGAUCCACGUCGAUAAUGCCACCGUGCGCGCUGUCCACGCCGGGGCAUUACUAAACAGCACCUAUGUGGAUGACAAUCUUUUUCCUUUCCCGAACCAUGGCAUCGCGCCCUACUCGCUCUCGGCCAGCAACGAGCUUGUCCUCAUGGGGUGCGAUGCGUGGGCGUCGAUGCUCGGGCACCGCACCAGCAACGACAAUGGCCCAGACAUCCUCAGUGGAUGCGUCUCCUUCUGCAGCUUUGCCUCGGACGAAGACACCGACGUUGGCCACGUCGACCACCGAGGGCGAGACCGAGAAGGGCAUAGCCGGCGCCGGAACCCAAAUGACAAGUACUGCCACGGCAUGGGCUGCUGUCAGACACACAUCUCCCAGGACUCCACGGGGGGGAUGCCCAAGCAGUUGAGUGUGGGACAUCCAACAAGUGCAAGAGCAAGCACAGCCACUGCAAGCAGGGGAACAGAGGCUAUACAUGCCACUGCGAGGUUGGCUACGACGGCAAUGUCUCUGUAUUUUUCAGUUAGCGUUGGAGCUGGGCUUGCGAGUGCUGGGGGCCUCAUAGUUUCAGUUCUUGCUGGAUGGUUCAUUUCCAGCAAAGUUAAACAGAGAAAUGCACAAAUUUCAAAGCGAAAGUUCUUUGACCAAAAUCGAGGACAGCUGUUGCAACAAUUGGUAUCACAGAGGGCUGAUAUUGCUGAAAGGAUGAUCAUACCCUUAGAAGAGAUAGAGAAGGCAACCAACAAUUUUGAUAAAGCUCGUGAGCUUGGUGGUGGAGGGCAUGGUACAGUAUACAAAGGGAUUUUGUCAGACCUCCAUGUGGUAGCCAUCAAGAAGCCAAAGAAGAUUAUUCAAAGGGAGAUUGAUGAGUUUAUUAACGAGGUUGCUAUACUAUCACAGAUCAAUCACCGAAAUGUGGUAAAACUUUACGGUUGUUGCCUUGAAACAGAAGUUCCAAUGUUGGUCUACGAGUUCAUAUCCAAUGGAACCCUUUAUGAUCAUCUUCACAUCAAUGGACCAAGAUCAUUGUCAUGGGAAGACAGGCUUCGGAUUGCAGUUGAAACAGCCAAAUCACUGGCCUAUCUUCACUCUACAGCUUCAAUGCCCAUCAUUCAUAGAGAUGUGAAGUCGGUUAACAUACUGUUGGAUGACACUCUAACAGCAAAGGUAGCAGACUUUGGAGCUUCAAGAUAUAUUUCGGUGGAAAAGUCGGGGUUAACAACAAUGGUUCAAGGUACAAUAGGAUAUUUGGACCCAAUGUAUUUCUACACAGGGCGGCUCACAGACAAAAGUGAUGUCUAUAGCUAUGGUGUCAUGCUCAUAGAACUGCUUACUCGACAAAAGCCAUUUUCAUAUUUGUCUUCUGAAGGUGAAGGCCUUGUUACACAUUUUGUUGCAUUGUUUGAGGAGGGUAAUCUGUCACAGAUAUUAGAUCCACAAAUUACAGAUGAGGGAGGCAAAGAAGUUGAAGAAGCCGUUGCACUUGCAGUGGCAUGUAUAAAAUUAAGAGGAGAGGAGCGUCCAACCAUGAGGCAAGUGGAGUUGACACUUGAAGGUCUUCGACCAUCCAAGGAGUAUAUUUCAGAUGAAUUUGGCACCAACAGACUUGAGAACAAAGGUGUCACGAUUAAUGCUCCAUCAACCGUAGAUGGAAGAAGCACUGAUGGAUCGACUAGACAAUACAGUAUGGAAGAAGAGCUGGCCAUGUCUUCGAGGUAUCCUAGGUAG
rnacentral:rRNA from 1 species